AUGUCGUGCAGCCCGCGCUCAGUCACCUCCUCCUUCCGUCGGGCCGGCGAGCGGCCGGUGGUGUCGGGCCUUGGCCUGUCCUCCUGUUCCGAGGCUUCGGAUGUGCAGGGGCCGGCCGGUUGGGAGGCCGCCGCUGGUGCCCUGGCGCCACCUAAGGCUCCGGAGUGGGUGCAGGCUCGCCCUUCCCGGAAGGAGCUUUGGAGGCGUCGUCGCGUGGAUGGUGCUGGCGCGUCCAGAGAGGCGCCUCCGCCCAGAGCGCGCCCCGCGGUCUUGCCGGAGAUGGAGGGGCUCUGCUUCAAGUGCUUCGAAGAAGGGCACUUCAAGAACGACUGCACCAACCAGGUGGUCUGCUUCCGCUGUAAGCUGCCAGGCCACGAGUCCAAGGACUGCAAGAGGCCACGGAGUCCGUCGCCGGAGGAGGAGCACAGGCGCUCGACGGCUGCUAAGGUCGCACGCAAAGAGCUGGCCGCCGGGUCGUCGCAGAGGGCGCCGCCACCGCCACCUCCUCUGGCCCUGCAUGUGGCGCCGGCUGCGUGGCCGCGCAUCUUCUCGCCACGGCUCGAGUCCCCGGAGCGCGAGCAGUUCAUUGCCCAAGACCUUUGCGUUAUCCGACGCUCGCCGAGCAUGGGAUAUCUGGAGCGGAGGCUGCAAUUCGCCAUGGUGGCCUACGUAGGUGGAGCAAGACACGACAUCUCCCCCGAGUUCGUCGUUCAGGCGUUGGGUGCAGCAGUGGGCAUCGAGCCGGAGUAG
rnacentral:rRNA from 1 species